rnacentral:tRNA from 1 species
GCAUCGGUUGUGCAAAGGUCAGCAUGGUAGCCUUCCAAGCAGCCGAUCCGGGUUCGAUUCCCGGCCGACGCA